AGCGUAAUUUGCUCUGAUACAAAUUGUAUGAUUCAAGAUUUAAAAAUAUCAAAAGAAAAAAAAAAUGAAAAAGAUAUAAUGGAGGAUUACGAUAGCUAGACACAGAUAUUUUAUUAAUGAAUCAUAAAACACGUCUGGCUAGUUUGCAAUUAAGAUCUUAUCAGAAUUUGCGUUUACUUCUAAUUGAAUGGACACAAAUUUUAAACUAACUUUAAAUAAAAGUGAAUAUAAAUCUUCAAUCCUACUCUAAUUAACUAUGUUAUUUUUAAAUAUAAUCAAAAUCUAAUUU
rnacentral:lncRNA from 1 species